rnacentral:rRNA from 1 species
GGUUAAGUUAGAAAGGGCGCACGGUGGAUGCCUUGGCACUAGGAGCCGAUGAAGGACGGGACGAACACCGAUAUGCUUCGGGGAGCUGUAAGCAAGCUUUGAUCCGGAGAUUUCCGAAUGGGGAAACCCACUGCUCGUAAUGGAGUAGUAUCCAUACUUGAAUACAUAGAGUAUGAGAAGGCAUACCCGGGGAACUGAAACAU